UGUGUGUGUGUGUGUGUGUGUGUGUGUGUGUGUGUGCUGAGACAAAAAUAAAAGUCUCUCUCUUUCCCACAGAGCUCUUCUACCCUUACAAGCGGCCCCUCAUGACGUAAUGUUUGUGGAGAUCAUCAGCUCGUUCAUACACAGCUCGUUUAGUGCACAUAGACAGUGAUGUCACAGUGUCACUGAGUAGUCAAAGUUGGGGAUCACAUUUCGAGAAGGAAGAGUGAAGAAGAGAAGGAUGAGGAGGAAGAGGAGGGGAAAGAAGAGGGUGAAAGAACUAGAUUGAAACAUUUCUCUGUUUUUAAAUAAAUAGAGAACUCUCA